AUUGAACGCUGGCGGCAUGCCUUACACAUGCAAGUCGAACGGUAACAGGUUAAGCUGACGAGUGGCGAACGGGUGAGUAAUGUAUCGGAACGUGCCCAGUCGUGGGGGAUAACUACUCGAAAGAGUGGCUAAUACCGCAUACGACCUGAGGGUGAAAGCGGGGGACCGUAAGGCCUCGCGCGAUUGGAGCGGCCGAUAUCAGAUUAGCUAGUUGGUGGGGUAAAAGCCCACCAAGGCGACGAUCUGUAGCUGGUCUGAGAGGACGACCAGCCACACUGGGACUGAGACACGGCCCAGACUCCUACGGGAGGCAGCAGUGGGGAAUUUUGGACAAUGGGCGCAAGCCCGAUCCAGCAAUGCCGCGUGCAGGAAGAAGGCCUUCGGGUUGUAAACUGCUUUUGUCAGGGACGAAAAAAGGUCUUUCUAGAUCGUCUGACGGUACCUUAUGAAUAAGCACCGGCUAACUCCGUGCCAGCAGCCGCCGUAAAAC
rnacentral:rRNA from 1 species